UCUGCUCCCAGCAUGGGUGGCAAAGAAUCAGUCUGGUUCCCAAAAGCUUUGGUUACUGGCCUGGCUUCCAAACCGAGAGUGUUUCACAUAGGAACUGAGUCUGAGAGAGCAGCUGCCCCUCCUGUCCAUCACCAAGAGGCUGAGCUUUAACUCUUGACACUUUCGUAAGCAGAGGCCAGUAGAGCAGAGGCUGCAGCAGUCCAGGAAACAGUAGUGGCUGAGAAAAUGGGCUCAGGGGCCAGGAGAGGUGGCGCAUGCCUGUAAUCCCAACAUUUUGGGAGGCUGAGGCGGGUGGAUCACUUGAGGCCAGGAGUUUGAGACCAGGCUGGCCAGCAUGGCAAA
rnacentral:lncRNA from 10 species